CCCCGUGCACGAUGCAGCGCAGGAAUGUGAAAGGCUCCCGCCCGCCGCCAUUUUCUUUCUUUCUUGGCAGGCAGCGGUGGCGGAGCGAGUAUGGCGGACUAUUCCACGGUGCCACCUCCUGCUUCGGGAGCGCCCGGAGGAGGCGGCGGUGGAGGUGGAGGAGUGAACGAUGCUUUUAAAGACGCGCUGCAGAGAGCUAGGCAGAUUGCAGCAAAGAUUGGAGGAGAUGCUGGUACGUCCAUGAAUUCCAAUGACUAUGGUUAUGGAGGACAAAAAAGACCUCUUGAGGAUGGAGAUGGCUCUUGGACAAGUCCGAGCAGUACAACACACUGGGAGGGAAUGCCCUCUCCUUUUAAAGAUCAACCAGAUGCUAAGAAAGUUGCUCCUCAGAAUGACUCUUUUGGAAAUCAGCUACCACCAAUGCAUCAACAACAAAGGUCUGUGAUGACAGAGGAGUACAAAGUUCCAGAUGGAAUGGUUGGAUUCAUCAUCGGCAGAGGAGGAGAGCAGAUCUCACGCAUACAGCAAGAGUCAGGAUGUAAAAUACAGAUUGCACCUGAUAGUGGGGGCCUGCCUGAAAGGUCAUGCAUGUUAACUGGAACCCCAGAAUCUGUUCAAUCAGCGAAGAGAUUACUUGAUCAAAUAGUUGAAAAGGGAAGACCUGCACCUGGCUUUCAUCAUGGGGAUGGACCUGGAAACGCAGUCCAAGAAAUUAUGAUUCCAGCAAGUAAAGCAGGAUUAGUUAUCGGUAAAGGUGGAGAGACAAUUAAGCAAUUACAGGAGCGAGCAGGUGUCAAAAUGGUCAUGAUUCAAGAUGGUCCACAGAACACUGGUGCUGACAAACCCCUUAGAAUAACUGGAGACCCUUAUAAAGUUCAGCAAGCCAAGGAAAUGGUGCUGGAGUUAAUUCGUGAUCAAGGUGGCUUUAGAGAGGUGCGCAACGAAUAUGGGUCAAGAAUAGGAGGAAAUGAAGGGAUAGACGUUCCAAUACCACGGUUUGCUGUAGGUAUUGUAAUUGGAAGAAAUGGGGAAAUGAUCAAAAAGAUUCAGAAUGAUGCUGGUGUUAGGAUCCAAUUUAAGCCAGAUGAUGGAACAACUCCAGAUAGGAUAGCCCAAAUCACAGGGCCUCCUGAUAGAUGUCAACACGCUGCAGAAAUCAUUACAGAUCUUCUUCGAAGUGUUCAGGCUGGUAACCCUGGUGGACCAGGAGGACCCGGUGGUCGAGGAAGGGGUAGAGGUCAAGGCAACUGGAACAUGGGGCCCCCUGGUGGAUUACAGGAAUUCAAUUUUAUUGUUCCCACUGGCAAAACUGGAUUAAUCAUUGGCAAAGGUGGUGAAACUAUUAAAAGCAUAAGCCAACAGUCUGGUGCUAGAAUAGAGCUUCAAAGAAAUCCUCCACCUAAUGCAGACCCAAACAUGAAGAUGUUUACUAUCCGUGGAACACCCCAGCAAAUAGAUUACGCUCGACAACUUAUAGAAGAAAAGAUUGGAGGUCCGGUAAAUCCAUUGGGUCCGCCUGUUCCCCAUGGACCCCAUGGUGUUGUUCCUGGCCCACACGGACCUCCUGGGCCACCAGGCCCUGGUGCUCCCAUGGGACCAUAUAACCCAGCUCCUUAUAAUCCAGGGCCUCCUGGCCCAGCACCUCAUGGUCCUCCAGCUCCGUAUGCUCCACAAGGAUGGGGAAAUGCUUAUCCACACUGGCAGCCACCAAAUCCACCAGAUCCAGGUAAGCCAGGAACAGAUCCUAAUUCAGCAGCAUGGGCAGCUUACUAUGCUCACUACUAUCAGCAGCAAGCACAGCCACCACCUGCAGCCCCUCCUGGUGGACCAGCUACAACCCAAACCAAUGGACAAGGAGAUCAGCCAAACCCAGCACCAGCAGGGCAGGUUGACUAUACAAAGGCAUGGGAGGAAUACUACAAAAAAAUGGGUCAAGCAGUUCCUGCACCUGCUGGAGCUCCACCUGGUGGUCAGCCAGAUUACAGCGCAGCAUGGGCCGAGUACUACAGGCAGCAGGCAGCUUAUUAUGCCCAGACAAGUCCCCAGGGAAUGCCACAGCAUCCUCCAGCACCACAGUGCCUUCCCAGACCUUCCACCUUAGGUUCUGCUGCAAAAAAGCAACAGGUAAGCACAACCUAAGGAAGUAUAUAAAUUUAAAUAUUUCAGUACAUUAAUGUUGUCCCUGUGAGAUCUUUGUGGUUGUGUAUUGAAAAGCAAUCUUCUGCUUUCCCAAAUGCAUUGUUACUCACGGUUCCAUUUCAGUGGAAAGUCUUUUUUUAAGUUUUUAAACAACUGUUUAUAUUUCUAGGUAAAUAUGUAUAUUUUUUUUGUAAGAAAAGUUGAGUGGACUGCAGUAAUUGAAGUGGAGCAGAAUAAGUAGUCAUUCUUGUUCUUUUUCUUCCAGUAGCUACUUGUUGCAAUUAAAGAAUCAAAACCUUUAAAAUAUGCAGGAAUUACUUGUGAUAGAAAUGUCAACAGCCUUCACAAAUGUUUUUUACAGUAGGGCACUGUUCUCACUCAAUCCAUAAGACGUAAAUACAAAGAAUAUAACUUCGUGUUGCCGCUGAACUUGAUGACUUGUCUUAGAGUUACAGUGUGAUAGUGGCAUUUUUAGAUAACUUAGUUUGCUAAUUCAUACUUGACAAGGUAGGAAAAUAGAAUCUGGAGUUUCACAGAUUAGUAUGUUUUACUUGGAAAAGCACCAAUUAAAUGUUAAUGAUACAGCAAAUGAUAUUUUCUCCGUAUAUCAGUCAGUGUAUCUUGUUCCUUGAUACUUAAACUGAAUUGCUGUAUAUUUUGAUAGUUGCAAAUGUUUGUAUGUCUUAUAGAUGGUCUGGUACAGGUUUUCUUUUUUAUUUUUUUUAAGCUUAAAGUAAAGCAGCAUCUGUUUGUUUUUUGUUGUUGAUGAUUCUGUUUCUGAAAUGUGCUGCUCCUCUUUCAAAAGUCCUGCUUAUCUGUACAUUGAAGAAAAAUAUUCAAAAAUACUGCCUUCAUUUUCACACACAGUGCUGAAGAUGCUGCAAGCACCAAAUCAUAGCUCAUAGAAUCAGGUCCUGAGAUAGUUACUACCAGUAAAGAGGAAUCCUUUGAGUGUAUGCCAUUGGUGAGCCGAUGAGCAUGGACCGUAGAAGGGCUCCAUGUAGAAGGUAAAAUUGGCAAAAGCAUAACAGAUUUGAAAUGUAUCCCAUGGUGUAGGGUAUGAUUUUUGUUUUGAUCACUUUUCAUUCUUUAAAGUAUUAUUUGUUUGACCAUAAUUGUUCCAUGAUCUGUUUUUUUGUUGGUUUUUUUUUUUUUUUUAAUGUGUGAUUUAAUAAUAUUAAGCAGUUUUAAUUUAUAUUCUUCUAUAUGGUCAAGCUUAGAUAUCUUGACUUUUUGAACUAAAUCAAUAGUUGUCGUUUAGUUUCUCAAGCUACUUAAUAUUUGAUUAUCUGUAGUGUAAUAUGCAAUUUGACUUCAUUUUUGACACAAGUUAGGUGUGUACUGUUUGGAUUUUGAUACUGUGAAUUUAGUGGUGGGGUGAGUCAUUUCUUCACUUCCUUUUACGUGGUACUUUUUUUCUUAACAACUGUUGUUCCUAAAAUAUUAUUAACAAUAUUGCAGUAAGUUUUAGCCAGUGGGAGGAAAUAAAGAAGAAAGCCAGUUUAUUGGAAUGUUGCUAGGGUGUGGAAGGUUUCUUACCUCAGCAUAUAGCACUUGAGGUGUAUUGACUUUGUGACUGCAGAGCUUACAGGCAUGCUGGUUUGUACUAAAUGUAGCGGUUAUCUUUCAGCUCUCCAAAAUUGUAGUCUUAGAAUUUAAAAAAAAAAAAAAAAGAAAAAAACAAAAAACAUUAUCAGAGUUACUCUGAUGGCAGAAGAUAAUUAGACUUUCUUAUCCAUAAGCUAUGUUUAUAUGUUUCUUGCUUUUUUUUUCCGCCCUUGGAGUCUUAACAAAUUAGGUAGUCAAAAGAAUAUGAGAAGUCACGUAAGAGAAGCAUAAUGUUUGAAGUAGGGGAUAGAAUUUCAUACACCUUUCUGCAGCCUAGACUCUAGUAGGCCAUGAAGUAAAAUGUCAGGUGAAUAAUCUUCAGUCUAGCAUUAUCACAGGUCAUGUGUUCCAUUCAAGUUGAGCAGACAGAAAGGAUCAUUAUUCACUUGCACAGCUUAUCUUGACAUGUUUCUCAUUUUACCAGUAGUGUUUUAUUGUAUCAGAUGAUAGAAAAUUUUUCUCCCCUGUUCUCUUCCAAAGUAAUUUUUAAGUUUUUCAUUGCAUGCUAAGGGCUCUUAUUUUACUUUUGUCUGGAAGUGGGGGGAGGAAGGGAGGACCGGGCCUUUCAGAAAGCCUGCAGUUGACAGGAUUCCUUCUUCCCUAGUAAUAGCUUAUAAAACUCGUAUGUAUGCACAAAUAUUUCUCUUGCGUGCAUGUGAAAUGCAUUUUCGUCCUGAGAAAAGUGUUCUCUGCAGAAACUACCCGUGUGUAAAAAGAAGAUUGGCUUUAAAAGGCAACUGUGAUGGGAACAGUGUCUUAGGGAGAUGCAGCUUGGACUUGAGACAUUUAAUCAUCACUGAAGAAAGGGAACUGAGAUAUUUCAAUAUUUCUUAUCUCCAGUAAACAUUAUCUGCUAAGAGAAACCCAUUGUUUGCAAACUACAAAGAAGAGCAAAAUGAAUGAACCAUCUUCAGAACAUGUCAUGGAGUACCUCAGUUGUUAACGGUGGAAAUUGACUGGGGACUGUCAAGAGUAUUAAUGCUCCAGCUAUCUCUAUACUGCAAGCAAGCCUGGUAUGUUGGGUAGACAUCUGAGGGAAUUACAGAGGUCUCAUAAGGGGGGGAAAAAAAGCAAGAAAGAAUUGAAGGAGUUGAACUACUGAACUCUUCCGUAAAGGAAACUUUUUACACCAGGUUUUGACAACCACUGAUAGCAGAUAUAACCGCAAAAUAGAAAAGUACCACAUGGGUGAUUUGCUUUUCUUUUGAAUUUGUAAAUUCCAUUGUCACGCUUUUAUAUUACUUGGUUACUAAAUGUAGGUAUAUAAGGGUGGGAGAUGUGAAGAAAACUUCAAUUGGAAUGGCUAUGGUGGUUUCACAAAGUUCGCUCUCCUUCAUUUUCUUUUCUCUUUCACUUAUAUCCCUACUCCAAAAGAAAACAAAAAUGAGCAUUAUUCACAUAAUGCCAAGGUUAUCGUUAGGGAAUAACCAUUCCAUAAGGUGAUUUUUUUCAAGGGCACAGGGAGGACAAGAGGUGGGGGUAAGGGGGUAUUAACUUCAGUUUUGGCAUCUGUCUGAGCCUCAAACCUUCCCAGUUUGGACCAAUUGGGAAUUUCAGAAGUUCAGCUUUCUGGAGGUUCUGUGUUGUGCUGGUUUUUGGUUUAUUUUGUUUUUCCAUCAAGUAGCAAAUUGCUUUUGAAAUAUAGGCAAUAUAAUGAUCUUGUUUGUUUAAGAAUGGUAAUUUAUAUUUACACUGUUCUUUUAAAGUUAAAAUUAGCAAAUUCAUAGAAAUAAUAUGUUUAAAGUUCUCAAGAAAUAUGAAAAAACAUGACUCCUUAAACUUCUUUGUAUGUGAAUGAACAAAGUCACAAUGUUUGAGAUGGUAUAGAGGAAGGAUACUUAAAUACAGAACUUCAAAAUAAAGCUUUUGCAAAUAGAGAAUAGUAAAAUAGGAAAUACAGUACUCAAGUAUCUGGUGUUAUCUUAUCCUAGUGCCAAAUGCACAAUUCCCUUAGUAUGAUUAAAGAGCAAAUUAUAGUGAGGUCUGUUUAUAGCUGAACUAAAAUAAGUCUGGCUCUUGAUAAUGGAAAUAGUUUUGCAAAUAAUAUAAAACAAGUUGUGAGCAACAA